rnacentral:rRNA from 1 species
UACAUGGGGUGCAAACGUUGCUCGGAAUCAUUGGGCGUAAAGCGCGCGUAGGCGGUUACCUAUGUCGGAUGUGAAAGCCCUCGGCUUAACUGAGGAAGUGCAUUCGAAACUGGGUAGCUAGAGUACUAAAGAGGGUCGCGGAAUUCCCGGUGUAGAGGUGAAAUUCGUAGAUAUCGGGAGGAACACCGGUGGCGAAGGCGGCGACCUGGGUAGAUACUGACGCUGAGGCGCGAAAGCGUGGGGAGCAAACAGG